rnacentral:misc_RNA from 1 species
GUGAAUCAUCAAAUUUUUGAACGCAAAUGGCACUCUCCUCGGAGAGUAUGCCGGUGUGAGGGUCAGCCUAUAAAAAAUCGACAUCGUUGCUGUUUCGCGGUGGCGUUCGUCGGAAAUUUGGUCAGCUUAAAUCUUUUGGUUGUAAGCGAGUGAAAAUUGGCUUUUUGGUUCCAUGAACGUUUCGAA